UACGGCUACAUCACGUUGAAACGCCGGUUCUCGUAUGAUCCCCAAAGUUAAGGAACGUCGAGCCUGGUCAGUAUAUACAUGGGUGACCGCUUGGGAAUACCAUUUGCUGUAAG